GACGAACGCCGGCGGCGUGCUUAACACAUGCAAGUCGAACGGAAAGGCCCUGCUUUUGUGGGGUGCUCGAGUGGCGAACGGGUGAGUAACACGUGAGUAACCUGCCCUUGACUUUGGGAUAACUUCAGGAAACUGGGGCUAAUACCGGAUAGGAGCUCCUGCUGCAUGGUGGGGGUUGGAAAGUUUCGGCGGUUGGGGAUGGACUCGCGGCUUAUCAGCUGGUUGGUGGGGUAGUGGCUUACCAAGGCUUUGACGGGUAGCCGGCCUGAGAGGGUGACCGGCCACAUUGGGACUGAGAUACGGCCCAGACUCCUACGGGAGGCAGCAGUGGGGAAUAUUGCACAAUGGGCGGAAGCCUGAUGCAGCAACGCCGCGUGCGGGAUGACGGCCUUCGGGUUGUAAACCGCUUUCGCCUGUGCCGAAGCGUGAGUGACGGUAAUGGGUAAAGAAGCACCGGCUAACUACGUG
rnacentral:rRNA from 1 species